UUACUCUGGUUUCUCUUCAGAGCGAAUACAUCUUUCGCCUUUUACUAAAGAUUUCGGUGGAGAGGAACACUCUAAUGAGUCUUAAACUAUUUUUCGUAACCCUGCUCUGGCCGGGUU
ensembl:snRNA U5 U5 spliceosomal RNA